GCAAUCGUAACUCAAAUUGGUUGAGUCUUAGCAUGCGGGUUCGAUUCCUGCCGGUUGCA
rnacentral:tRNA from 1 species